rnacentral:rRNA from 1 species
GACGAACGCUGGCGGCGUGCUUAACACAUGCAAGUCGAACGGAAAGGCCCUGCUUUUGUGGGGUGCUCGAGUGGCGAACGGGUGAGUAACACGUGAGUAACCUGCCCUUGACUUUGGGAUAACUUCAGGAAACUGGGGCUAAUACCGGAUAGGAGCUCCUGCUGCAUGGUGGGGGUUGGAAAGUUUCGGCGGUUGGGGAUGGACUCGCGGCUUAUCAGCUUGUUGGUGGGGUAGUGGCUUACCAAGGCUUUGACGGGUAGCCGGCCUGAGAGGGUGACCGGCCACAUUGGGACUGAGAUACGGCCCAGACUCCGACGGGAGGCAGCAGUGGGGAAUAGUGCACAAUGGGCGGAAGCCUGAUGCAGCAACGCCGCGUGCGGGAUGACGGCCUUCGGGUUGUAAACCGCUUUCGCCUGUGACGAAGCGUGAGUGACGGUAAUGGGUAAAGAAGCACCGGCUAACUACGUG